rnacentral:rRNA from 1 species
CGACUUGGAGGUUGUUCCCUUGAGGAGUGGCUUCCGGAGCUAACGCGUUAAGUCGACCGCCUGGGGAGUACGGCCGCAAGGUUAAAACUCAAAUGAAUUGACGGGGGCCCGCACAAGCGGUGGAGCAUGUGGUUUAAUUCGAUGCAACGCGAAGAACCUUACCUACUCUUGACAUCCACGGAAUUCGGCAGAGAUGCCUUAGUGCCUUCGGGAACCGUGAGACAGGUGCUGCAUGGCUGUCGUCAGCUCGUGUUGUGAAAUGUUGGGUUAAGUCCCGCAACGAGCGCAACCCUUAUCCUUUGUCGCCAGCGAGUCAUGUCGGGAACUCAAAGGAGACUGCCGGUGAUAAACCGGAGGAAGGUGGGGAUGACGUCAAGUCAUCAUGGCCCUUACGAGUAGGGCUACACACGUGCUACAAUGGCGCAUACAAAGAGAAGCGACCUCGCGAGAGCAAGCGGACCUCACAAAGUGCGUCGUAGUCCGGAUCGGAGUCUGCAACUCGACUCCGUGAAGUCGGAAUCGCUAGUAAUCGUGGAUCAGAAUGCCACGGUGAAUACGUUCCCGGGCCUUGUACACACCGCCCGUCACACCAUGGGAGUGGGUUGCAAAAGAAGUAGGUAGCUUAACCUUCGGGAGGGCGCUUACCACUUUGUGAUUCAUGACUGGGGAGAAGUCGUAACAAGGUAUC